CGGAUCGUAAAGCUCUGUUGUAAGUGAAGNACNGCUCAUAGAGGAAAUGCUAUGGGAGUGACGGUAGCUUACCAGAAANCCACGGCUAACUACGUGCCAGCAGCCGCGGUAAUACGUAGGUGGCAAGCGUUAUCCGGAAUCAUUGGGCGUAAAGGGUGCGUAGGUGGCGUACUAAGUCUGUAGUAAAAGGCAAUGGCUCAACCAUUGUAAGCUAUGGAAACUGGUAUGCUGGAGUGCAGAAGAGGGCGAUGGAAUUCCAUGUGUAGCGGUAAAAUGCGUAGAUAUAUGGAGGAACACCAGUGGCGAAGGCGGUCGCCUGGUCUGUAACUGACACUGAGGCACGAAAGCGUGGGGAGCAAAUAGGAUUAGAUACCCUAGUAGUCCACGCCGUAAACGAUGAGAACUAAGUGUUGGAGGAAUUCAGUGCUGCAGUUAACGCAAUAAGUUCUCCGCCUGGGGAGUAUGCACGCAAGUGUGAAACUCAAAGGAAUUGACGGGGGCCCGCACAAGCGGUGGAGUAUGUGGUUUAAUUCGAAGCAACGCGAAGAACCUUACCAGGCCUUGACAUGGAAGCAAAUGCCCUAGAGAUAGGGGGAUAAUUAUGGAUCACACAGGUGGUGCAUGGUUGUCGUCAGCUCGUGUCGUGAGAUGUUGGGUUAAGUCCCGCAACGAGCGCAACCCUUGUCGCAUGUUACCAGCAUCAAGUUGGGGACUCAUGCGAGACUGCCGGUGACAAACCGGAGGAAGGUGGGGAUGACGUCAAAUCAUCAUGCCCCUUAUGGCCUGGGCUACACACGUACUACAAUGGCGACCACAAAGAGCAGCGACACAGUGAUGUGAAGCGAAUCUCAUAAAGGUCGUCUCAGUUCGGAUUGAAGUCUGCAACUCGACUUCAUGAAGUCGGAAUCGCUAGUAAUCGCAGAUCAGCAUGCUGCGGUGAAUACGUUCUCGGGCCUUGUACACACCGCCCGUCAAACCAUGGGAGUCAGUAAUACCCGAAGCCGGUGGCAUAACCGUAAGGAGUGAGCCGUCGAAG
rnacentral:rRNA from 1 species